UCUUAACCACCAUAUCUGAUGUUAUCAUUUCACUAUUAGAAUCAGCUCUUUCACCAACCGUUUUCACCGACCGCCACUUUUGCCGUUGUUAUUAAUCAAAACACCGACCGUUUUGAAUCGGGACGUUAUUUAGCGUCUGUUUUUUAAUCUCACAGACCGCGUUUAUGCUGGAAGCUAAUUACUGACCGUAUUAACGACGGCUUCUAAAAGUGGGUGGUGAAUACGGACCGCAUCUUAAGAAGACCGACAGUUUGACGGUCGGUAAAUUCCUACUAGUAAUUUCAAUUUUUAAACUCCCAGGUUUUCCUUUCACUCUACCAGUAAUUAAAAAUAACCCUAACGUUUGUGGAGAAACCGACGCCUCCCACUCCUCUAUCAUCAUCAUCUUCACGCUGCCGUCGCCUGUUUCUACUUCUCUAUCAUCAUCAUCAGGUAAGUUCACCGUCGUGAUUUCUUAAUUUCGCGACAUUCAUCUGUUUUUUUUAUAUUUUGAAUUUCAAUUGUAAAUCUACACGCACUAGCUUUCACCGUCGUCGUGCCGCUCGCUGUGUAUCGCCGGCUUCUUCUCCAUCAACAUCAUCAGAAUUGAGGAUCAUGAAACGAAGAGAUCGUAGUUGGAUGUAUGAUAGGCGUGAGGGACGCUUUCUGAAGACUGAGUUUGUGAAUGGAGUUCGAGAUUUUAUUGAAUUUGCGCAACAAAAUCAUAAAUUCAAAGACGCGGAGAAAAUUAGAUGUCCAUGCUUUCGGUGUAACAACAAACGAUUCUUUGAUGUUGAUAUUGUUAGAGAACAUCUUUAUAAAAAAGGAUUUUGUCAUGACUAUUUUGAUUGGUUAUGUCACGGGGAAACUAUUGACGAACCUCCAUCGGAUCCAUCAAAUCCUUAUCGAGACAUGAUUGUUGAUGCUCUUGGACAUAAUGAAGAAAAUCCAAACAAUGACCAAACAAAUAAUGUCGAAGAGGAGCCAAAUAAUGAAGCUAACAUGAAAUAACAAAUGAGUACUAUGUAGUGUAAUUGUAUCCAACAAUUUUACAAGAAACUUGUGGGACACAGUCCCAGGGUGAGCUGGAGAUGUUUUGUUUGAAACAGAAUUUUGGUCCCAAAGCACAUAUUAAUAUGCUGGCUUGUAAUGCAUGUAGUCCAUUGAGAAAACUCAUGCUCAUUUAUUUUUUGCAUUUGACUUUAGCAAA